AAUAAGCUAAUUAAGAGCGUAAGGUGGAUGCCUUGGCUCUCAGAGGCGAUGAAGGACGUGAUAAGCUGCGAUAAGCUACGGGGAUUGGCACACACAAUUUGAUCCGUAGAUUUCCGAAUGGGGAAACCCACUAUAUUGAAGAUAUAGUAUCCGUUAAGGAAGCAAACCCAGGGAACUGAAACGUCUAAGUACCUGGAGGAAUAGAAAACAAAAGUGAUUCCGCUAGUAGUGGCGAGCGAACGCGGAACAGCCCAAACCAAAAUUGUUUCGGCAAUUUUGGGGUUGUAGGACCACGAUAUUGAAUGUUUAAUGAAUUAGAAUUCUUUGGAAAAAGAAACCAUAGAGGGUGAUAGUCCCGUAUAA
rnacentral:rRNA from 1 species